rnacentral:hammerhead_ribozyme from 1 species
GGACUGUUGAGGAGUCCUACACUUGGACGAAACGGCCGUCCAGUGC